rnacentral:rRNA from 1 species
CGGAGGGUGCAAGCGUUGCUCGGAAUUAUUGGGCGUAAAGGGUAGGUAGGUGGUCUCGUUUGUCUGAGGUGAAAGCCCUGGGCUUAACUCAGGAAGUGCCUCAGAAACGGCGAGACUGGAGUCCUGGAGAGGGUCGUGGAAUUCCCGGUGUAGCGGUGAAAUGCGUAGAGAUCGGGAGGAGCACCAGAGGCGAAGGCGGCGACCUGGACAGGAACUGACACUCAACUACGAAAGCGUGGGGAUCAAACAGGAUUAGAUACCCUGGUAGUCCACGCUGUAAACGAUCGGUACUAGAUUAGGCGGGUCUUAACCCCUGCCGAGUCGGAGCUAACGCGAUAAGUACCGCGCCUGGGGAGUACGGUCGCAAGACUA